rnacentral:rRNA from 1 species
CAAUAGCGUAUAUUAAAGUUGUUGCAGUUAAAAAGCUCGUAGUUGGAUUUCUGCUGAGGACGAUCGGUCCGCCCACUGGGUGAGUAUCUGGCUCGGCCUUGGCAUCUUCUUGGAGAACGUUGCUGCACUUGACUGUGUGGCGCGGUAUCCAGGACUUUUACUUUGAGGAAAUUAGAGUGUUUCAAGCAGGCGCACGCCUUGAAUACAUUAGCAUGGAAUAAUGAGAUAGGACCUUGGUUCUAUUUUGUUGGUUUCUAGAGCUGAGGUAAUGAUUAAUAGGGAUAGUUGGGGGCAUUCGUAUUUAACUGUCAGAGGUGAAAUUCUUGGAUUUGUUAAAGAUGGACUACUGCGAAAGCAUUUGCCAAGGGUGUUUUCAUUGA